rnacentral:rRNA from 1 species
ACGGGAGGCAGCAGUGGGGAAUAUUGGACAAUGGGGGAAACCCUGAUCCAGCGACGCCGCGUGAGUGAAGAAGUAUUUCGGUAUGUAAAGCUCUAUCAGCAAGGAAGAAAAUGACGGUACUUGACUAAGAAGCCCCGGCUAACUACGUGCCAGCAGCCGCGGUAAUACGUAGGGGGCAAGCGUUAUCCGGAUUUACUGGGUGUAAAGGGAGCGUAGACGGUAUGGCAAGUCUGAAGUGAAAUGCAUGGGCUCAACCCAUGAACUGCUUUGGAAACUGUCAAACUAGAGUGCAGGAGAGGUAAGUGGAAUUCCUAGUGUAGCGGUGAAAUGCGUAGAUAUUAGGAGGAACACCAGUGGCGAAGGCGGCUUACCGGACUGUAACUGACGUUGAGGCUCGAAAGCGUGGGGAGCAAACAGGAUUAGAUACCCUGGUA